UAAUAUUUGAAAAGCUUAGAUUGAAUGGUUCAUGAGUAAAUGCAACAACGUGAAUGGAAACGCCAUUUUACAAUCUUUCAAGAACCAUAACUAACUCCUGAAACAGUAAAAGUCAAAAUCGUCAUUAUGGAACUUGACCUCUAUUUUGUCAUCAGUAACAACAUAUUAAAAUUUCAAAAGCUUUGGUUGAAUGGUUCAUGAGAAAAUGCACGGACACGACAGGAAACACCAUUUUUCAAUCUUUCAAGAACCAUAACUCCUGAACGGUAAAAGUCAAAAUCGUCAUUAUUGAACUUGACCUCCAUUUUGUCAUCAGUAAC
rnacentral:lncRNA from 1 species